GAUAGGAGAACUUUGAUAACAGGGAAAUAUCUAUCUAUCUACUCCCUCUGUCCACUUUUAUUUGUUUUUAAGAUUUUUGCACGGUGAUUAAAGAAGCAAUUAAAGUACUUAAAUUAUAACAAAAUACUUCUUAAUUUGACUAAAUUCCCUUUUAUCUCUCCUAAUUAAGAGAGAGGGGGAGGUGUUAAGAUGAGUUUUAGAAAAUUGUACAGGUAGUUAUGGUUUUUAGUAGAGAUAAGGGUAAAAUUGGAAAAAAUAAUUAAUAUUCCUUGAUCUUCUCAAAACGACAGAUAAUUAUGGACAAAACAACUUCUAAAAAUGACAAACAAAAGUGGACGGAGGGAGUAUGUCUGUGUUUGUCUGCAUUUUCCAUCUAAAACAGUUUAUGCGCACACACAAAGACAUGUAUAUCAUAUACAAGAACUCUGCUCAAUUACUAUAAACUGAAGUGAUGAUGAUAUUGCAAAUUUUUUGUAAACACUAGUAUCAUUCUGUUCUAUUAAGAACUCAAAUGUUCUACAUGCAUUGACAAUACAUAAUGAAGAAAUAAGAACCAAACAGACAGCCUAUGGCCAAGUUAAUCUGGUCAAAAUUAUUUUAAGGGC
rnacentral:misc_RNA from 1 species